AGACCCGAAACCCGGUGAUCUAGCCAUGGGCAGGUUGAAGGUUGGGUAACACUAACUGGAGGACCGAACCGACUAAUGUUGAAAAAUUAGCGGAUGACCUGUGGCUGGGGGUGAAAGGCCAAUCAAACCGGGAGAUAGCUGGUUCUCCCCGAAAGCUAUUUAGGUAGCGCCUCGUGAAUUCAUCUCCGGGGGUAGAGCACUGUUUCGGCUAGGGGGCCAUCCCGGCUUACCAACCCGAUGCAAACUGCGAAUACCGGAGAAUGUUAUCACGGGAGACACACGGCGGGUGCUAACGUCCGUCGUGAAGAGGGAAACAACCCAGACCGCCAGCUAAGGUCCCAAAGUCAUGGUUAAGUGGGAAACGAUGUGGGAAGGCCCAGACAGCCAGGAUGUUGGCUUAGAAGCAGCCAUCAUUUAAAGAAAGCGUAAUAGCUCACUGGUCGAGUCGGCCUGCGCGGAAGAUGUAACGGGGCUAAACCAUGCACCGAAGCUGCGGCAGCGACGCUUAUGCGUUGUUGGGUAGGGGAGCGUUCUGUAAGCCUGUGAAGGUGGCCUGUGAGGGUUGCUGGAGGUAUCAGAAGUGCGAAUGCUGACAUAAGUAACGAUAAAGCGGGUGAAAAGCCCGCUCGCCGGAAGACCAAGGGUUCCUGUCCAACGUUAAUCGGGGCAGGGUGAGUCGACCCCUAAGGCGAGGCCGAAAGGCGUAGUCGAUGGGAAACGGGUUAAUAUUCCCGUACUUGGUGUUACUGCGAAGGGGGGACGGAGAAGGCUAUGUUGGCCGGGCGACGGUUGUCCCGGUUUAAGCGUGUAGGUGUGUGUUCCAGGUAAAUCCGGUUCACUUUAACACUGAGGC
rnacentral:rRNA from 1 species